UACGUAGGGUGCGAGCGUUGUCCGGAAUUAUUGGGCGUAAAGAGCUUGUAGGCGGUUUGUCGCGUCUGCUGUGAAAAUCCGGGGCUCAACCCCGGAUUUGCAGUGGGUACGGGCAGACUAGAGUGUGGUAGGGGAGACUGGAAUUCCUGGUGUAGCGGUGAAAUGCGCAGAUAUCAGGAGGAACACCGAUGGCGAAGGCAGGUCUCUGGGCCACUACUGACGCUGAGAAGCGAAAGCAUGGGGAGCGAACAGG
rnacentral:rRNA from 1 species